GUUUUACUCUGUUGCCCAGGCUGGGGUGCAGGGGCAUGAACAUGGCUCACUGCACCCUUGACCUUCUGGGCUCAAGCGAUCCUCUUGCCUCAGGCUUCUGUUUAGCUGGGGCCACAGGCGGGCACCAAAAUGCCUGGCUAAUUUUUUUGUUUUUAUUUUGGUAGAGACGAGGUCUCACUUUGUUGCCCAUGCUGUUCUCAAACUUCUCGGCUCAAGUGAUCCUCCCACCUCGGCCUCCCAAAGUGCUGUGUUACAGGCAUAAGCCACUGCACCUGGUCUCUACUUCGUUCUUACUCUUCUUCCCGACUCUGUGAUCAGCUCUUUUUCCUCACUGACAUCUCUUAUCACCAGCAGAGGCCUACCACUAGACACCAGUGGUUCUACUUCCCUGGUUGAGCCCUGGUAGAUACGGUUCCUGAGAACUUCAUGGAGCAGUUUCUGCACCAAACCUGCCCUCUCUACCUCUGGACCUCUACGUGGAAAAGAGAAGUCCGUAUUGGAAGCCUUGACUCUGGCCCAGACAUUUCUGCUGUACCUCAUGUAGGGUGAGCCCAGGACCUGCCACACUGUGCCAGCCUCGCCCAAGCCACCCCCCAGCCAGGACGCGGUCUUUCCUGACUCAGCAGGCUGAGGCACCUGAGGCUUUCAUUUUAAUUAUGAACCACUUCAAAGCCUUUCUGGAAGCAGUCUCUGCAAUAACCAACCUGGGUUCUCUCCUAAUGUGGGGAUUGUCCUGGAGCCCAGGCCUUCCAAGGCUCCUCCGCCCGCCAACAUCACCUACCUCAUCUUCCUCUUCAGCACAUCCCCAACAUUGUCUAAGCGGUAACUCACCUGAGCAAAGCACUUGACACGGAUUCAUUCAUUUACUCCUCACAACAACCUGAUGAGAGCACUGAUUAACUUCAAAGGGGAAAAACAAUAACCUUUACAAUGGAUAGAUCUGGCAGGAACCAUGUUAACCAAGUGAUCAAAGGUAGCAUCACCAAUAAUGGGGCAAACCGACAUCCUGUGCUUCCCCAUUGAUGCGCCGAGAAGGACACAGCAUUGCUCAUGCAGCAUCCUUGUCAAAAAUGCGUAAACGGAAUCUAAUCAUGAGAAAACUGCCAGACAGCCAAACUCUUCAGAAAUGUCAAUAUAAUGAAAGGCAACAAAGAUUGAGAAUAACUUUACCAGGUUAAAGAAAACUAAAAAGAUAUGACAACUGACUGCAACGCAGAAUCCUGGACCAGACCCUGGAUCUGGUCAAAAGAAAAAUGCUUUAAACGACAGUAUUGGGACAAAGGGUAAAAUUUGAAUGUGGAUCAUGUAAUAGAUGAAUAAUAUAUUGUAUCAAUGAUA
rnacentral:lncRNA from 10 species